AUUGAAGUGUUCAAGGCAGGCAGAUAUUUCCAAUACUGCCACCGAAUACAUUAGCAUGGGAUAAUGGAAUAGGACCCUGUCCUUCAUGUUUCGCGUUGGUUGUGCCACGUGCGUGCGCUUCGCGGUGCGCGCGCGUGGCAUGGUUUCGUCUAAAGGAGGACCAGGGUAAUGAUUAAUAGGGAUAGUUGGGGGCAUUAAUAUUUAAUUGUCAGAGGUGAAAUUCUUGGAUUUAUGAAAGAUUAACUUCUGCGAAAGCAUCUGCCAAGGAUGUUUUCAUUAAUCAAGAACGAAAGUUAGGGGAUCGAAGACGAUUAGAUACCGUCGUAGUCUUAACCAUAAACCAUGCCGACCAGCGAUUGGGAGACGUUUCACACGGGAGUGGUCCCCAUGGGGAGAGUGCGUGGGGGGUGGCCGCUUCGUGCGGUGGCCUCCUCGCCUUUCCCUUUUGGGGGCUGCCCCCACUAAAGGAUGACUCCCCUAGCACCUUGUGAAAA
rnacentral:rRNA from 1 species